AGGAGUCUUCUUCGGCCGCUGCUGCUGAGGCUGCUUUCGUGGUUACCACCUAGGCUUCGGUCCCUGAGAUCCAUGGCUUGGCUCGGUCCAGUCAAGAGUUCGUCCAUCCACCAAGAGCACCCCUUCUGCUCCGGGUUGUGCCCCCAGGGUUUACUCCCCAUACUGGUCUGUUUGAGAGUCAGACUCGGCUUUAACAAACCCUAUGGUGGCGAUGGAGUUAGUCAAAGCCAUGCAGCUCCCAGUCGGCCUAGAGGCUAUGCACUCUAUCAGCAUCAUCGAGUUCUUCAAUGAAGCUUUCACCAUGGUCAUUCAAGUAGGUCUCCGAUUCACAAACUACUAUAUAGUCUUUCACUUUAGUUACUAACUCUAUUCCCCUUUCCAUCAUGCUUUUGUGAUUAGUGAGAAGCAACGAAUGACCACAAGGUUCUUCAGGCAUUGCUCGGCGCUUGAGGGGAAAUGAAAAGCUAACAAAGUGUAGGCCGAGGUGAAGGUCAAGUCGGUCAAGGAUGAGAUUAGGUCGGCAGAAGCUCAUGCCUCGAUCGUGCAGGCCUAAGCGGAAAUGAAGGAGGCCCAACUACGUGCAUCCAUGAAAGCCCUCAAAGCCACAUUGUUAUUACCUAGCCAGAUGUGGCAUGCAAUGAUGACCAGGUAACAGUCGGUAGUAUGGUAGUGGCAUGGAGCCAGUCUAUGUGGGCAGCGAGCAGUAUGGUGGGGCGCAGGCCGUGGUGCUGCCACGACUGCGAGCUGCUAGAGCUGUUGGUUGUUAGGGCUAUCAGUUCUUGUCAACAUAUGUUGAUUAUGUUUUUCGGCUGAUCUUUCUUCCUCAGUAAGGACUGAAGGUGCUUACCUCUACUAGUUGGCUGCUUGGCUGAGGUGGAGGUUGUUCUAUUCGGCUUACGUCUGAGGUUAAGUGGGUAGGUCUGGUUCGAGGU
rnacentral:lncRNA from 1 species